GAGGAGGUCCCCUUAAAUUUAGAUGAGUUUAUUUUCACUACCGAAGGACAUUUGUUUCCUUUAACUUUAUCAGGCCGUGGAGUCAAUUUCACCAAAGUUACUUCAGAUAUGGAAAUAGAGAAUUCUGAAUUUGCCAUGUCUUGUCCAAACACUUUAUCACUAUUUCCGGAUGCUGUUAGAAAACCACUUAAGCAUAUGGUGGAUGGCAUGUGUCCAAGAAGAUCAAUUAAAAGGAGAUUGACAGCUAGCGAGUUUUCUGCUGCUAAUGUCAACCACUUAAAGAUACUGAAGGAAAUGGGCAUAAAUAUCAUAGCUUUACGUGAUGGAAGAGUGCAAUUACUACAUACUCCCACAAUGGUAAGAUUUUUUUUCAAGUUUUCACUUAAAAUUAUAACUCAUAGCAUAUUUUAUAUCAGUGGUAUGAGCUUAGAAUAUUUGAAAUUUUAUAUAUCUUUAAGAAGUUAAACAUAAUAUCUUUAUAUACGCAGAAACUGGAUGAGUU